rnacentral:rRNA from 1 species
AUGGCCAGGGGGUCUCAGCCAUCUGCAUCGCUCCUGCUCUUCUCUCUGGGGCUUGUGCUCCUCUGCUUCACCUCAGGAAGCACCGUGAGGCUGGCCGAGGCACAGAAAACGUGGUGCAUGGCGAAGCCGUCGUCGGACGAGAAGGUCCUGCAGGCCAACAUCAACUACGCGUGCUCCAACGUCAGCUGCGCUGUGAUCCAGCCGGGCGGGCCGUGCUACAACCCCAACAACCUGCUGUCGCACACCUCCGUCGCCAUGAACCUCUACUACGCCGCCAACGGCCGGCACUCCUGGAACUGCUACUUCGCCGACUCGGGCAUCGUCGUCAAGUCCGACCCCAGUUACGGUUCGUGCACCUACUACUGA